rnacentral:rRNA from 1 species
GAUGAACGCUGGCGGCGUGCCUAACACAUGCAAGUCGAACGGAGAUUACGGACGGAAGUUUUCGGAUGGAAGACUGUAAUUCUUAGUGGCGGACGGGUGAGUAACGCGUGGGCAACCUGCCCUAUACAGGGGGAUAGCAGCUGGAAACGGCUGGUAAGACCGCAUAAGUCGGUUAAAUCGCAUGAUUUGAUCGGGAAAUGAGCAAUCAGGUAUAGGAUGGGCCCGCAUCCGAUUAGCCAGUUGGCAGGGUAAAAGCCUACCAAAGCGACGAUCGGUAGCCGGACUGAGAGGUCGGACGGCCACAUUGGGACUGGGACACGGCCCAAACUCCUACGGGAGGCAGCAGUGGGGGAUAUUGCACAAUGGAGGAAACUCUGAUGCAGCGACGCCGCGUGAGUGAAGAAGUAUUUCGGUAUGUAAAGCUCUAUCAGCAGGGAAGAUGAUGACGGUACCUGAAGAAGAAGCCCCGGCUAACUACGUG